AUAAAUUUAGUGUAGGAGGCACAUUUAAUUUUGAUUUAAAUGGAUAUGGUUUAAUUCCAUUAAUUUAUA
rnacentral:tRNA from 1 species